UACGUAGGGGGCAAGCGUUAUCCGGAUUUACUGGGUGUAAAGGGAGCGUAGACGGUGAUGCAAGUCUGAUGUGAAAGGCAGGGGCUCAACUCCUGGACUGCAUUGGAAACUGUGUUACUUGAGUGCCGGAGGGGUAAGCGGAAUUCCUAGUGUAGCGGUGAAAUGCGUAGAUAUUAGGAGGAACACCAGUGGCGAAGGCGGCUUACUGGACGGUAACUGACGUUGAGGCUCGAAAGCGUGGGGAGCAAACAGG
rnacentral:rRNA from 1 species